rnacentral:rRNA from 1 species
AUUGAACGCUGGCGGCAUGCUUAACACGUGCAAGUCGAACGGGGGUAGCAAUACCCUAGUGGCGGACGGGUGAGUAACGCGUAGGAAUCUGCCUCGUAGUGGGGGACAACCUGGGGAAACCCAGGCUAAUACCGCAUACGCUCGCGAGAGGAAAGCGGGGGGACCUUCGGGCCUCGCGCUAUGAGAUGAGCCUACGUCCGAUUAGCUAGUUGGUGGGGUAAAGGCCUACCAAGGCGACGAUCGGUAGCUGGUCUGAGAGGAUGAUCAGCCACACUGGGACUGAGACACGGCCCAGACUCCUACGGGAGGCAGCAGUGGGGAAUAUUAGACAAUGGGCGAAAGCCUGAUCCAGCAAUGCCGCGUGGGUGAAGACGGCCUGCGGGUUGUAAAGCCCUUUAGGUGGGGAGGAAAGGCGGGACGUGAACAGCGUUUCGCACUGACGUUACCCACGGAAUAAGCACCGGCUAACUCCGUGCCAGCAGCCGCGGUAAU